CUGAUCAACAUUGUCGCUCUGUCGAGAUCGUUCUUUGAUGGGUCGAUUUUUUCUUUUUACCGCAUCAGAUUGGACUAUAUCUUGAACUAGACUUCCUCUAGAACGUUUUGAUGCUUUAUCUUUGCCCAUCGCACUUGAAAUUCGUCUAGAAAAGCUAUUUCUUACCGUUUAUGUGAAGUAAAGUCACUCCAUGUGAGAUUUUCGAGCAGCCAUAUUGGAAGAGGAAGAAUCUUGUAUCUUACAUGACGUACACGGUUGUCCACACUAUUACCAAACUUUAUGCCGAAAUUUUACCAAAUUGACAAUUAUUUUUUC